rnacentral:rRNA from 1 species
CUCUUCAUUUCUAUCACAAUAAGAUGGACUUUACCGAGGAUGAGAAUGGAUCAGUUAUUAAAUCUUGGAUGGAAAUUUCUUUUACCUAUUUCCCUGGGCAAUCUCUUAUUAACAACCUCUUCUCAACUUGUUUCACUAUAA